CACGCCGUAAACGAUGUUCACUCGCUGUUUGCGAUAUACAGCAAGCGGCUUAGCGAAAGCAUUAAGUGAACCACCUGGGGAGUACGAUCGCAAGGUUGAAACUCAAAGGAAUUGACGGGGGCCCGCACAAGCGGAGGAACAUGUGGUUUAAUUCGAUGAUACGCGAGGAACCUUACCUGGGCUUAAAUGUAGAGUGCAUGCGGUGGAAACACCCUUCCCUUCGGGGCUCUCUGCAAGGUGC
rnacentral:rRNA from 1 species